CAAUCCCUGCAAGUCAAUCACCAAAAGAGGACUCAUUAGAUCAACCAAUUUUAAGGCAAAGAAUUACACAAAUUUGGCAAGAAGCCAUAUAACCCAAGUUCAAGAAGAAAAGACUUGUACACAAAUGGAAAAGUAUCAAAUAAAUCCUAAGGAGAACCUCUGCAAUACUAUCUUCAAGGUUUAAAGUAAGGACAAGGAGGCAUAAAAUAAAAACGUAGAGCUCAUCAUGUUGUCAAAAAGGAAAAAACAUAUCCGACUCCCAAGAAUAAAAUAACAAUGAAUUAUCAAUUAGUGAGUUCCCCAAAGGUUGCACAAACUAGGCGAAAAGGCUUUUUAGCUCAGCUCAAAAGAGAGGUUAGUUGUUAGCUCAAAUUAGAAAUUGGAGCUCUCCAAUGCCUUACACCAAUUUAGUAGUGAAGCUUUAAGCCCAAAAUAAAAAAGAAGAGAGAAUCUUUAACCCAAAUUAGACACAAAAUGCCAAGGAAUUUUGGCUAUAAAUACCAGCCCCACCACCAUCUCCUUCCUCACACCUCUCAACGUUCACAAAUCACAAGAUGUGCAGCAAGAGAGGAAGGAGUGGCGGCGAGCUUAAGGGCAGUCCGGUGUUCGAAGGAGUCAUCGAGAAAGAGCUCUAGGUUUUUACUUCCAUGGAGGAAAAAGUGAGGAGAUUAGAAGGGGGCAGUCUAAUCAAGGAGUCUUGGACCCUAGAGUGCACGGCGGUGAGCGAAUUGGUAGUCCGUUCACAGCAGAAGGUUGAGCAGUGAUGACAGCGGGCGGUGUUGAGCAUAGAC